CUGUUUUGAUUUGUUUAAUCUAAAGAUUAAUAUGAAAUGUUUCAGAAGUAAAUUUUCUUGCCAUCAUGCUGGAUUCUCAUUUGAAAUUUAACAAGCAAGCGAAGAAGCCUUCGUUCCCCCCGAUGCAGACGGCAGACUUCCCCCRGCAGAGAGGAGAGAGGCUGCGACUGCUCCGAGAACAGAAAAGUUUCUGGACGCUCUCUAGGUGUCUUGGACGCAGCGGCUGAAAGAAGCCAUUUCCUGCCAAAUAGUGAGCCCGUGUAAUCGUGACUGCAGCAGCUACUUCCUGCAUUGUUACAGUGCUUAAUGAGGAUUAAGUUGAAGCUGUCAUGGUGCUCCGCACGGAGUUCAAGAGACGGAGGAUCUGCGUGGAGGCUGGAUGAUCUCAUUAGGGUUUGAUGCCUGCACAGGACCAGCUCACUAACUGUGUUCUGUUAACAAAUACAGAUGUGCUCAUUUAAAUACAAGUGGCCAUUUA